rnacentral:rRNA from 3 species
CUGAACUUAAGCAUAUCAAUAAGCGGAGGAA